AUCCCUUGACAUCCGGAGAAUUUUCUAGAGAUAGAUUAGUGCCUUCGGGAAUUCCGUGACAGGUGCUGCACGGCUGUCGUCAGCUCGUGUCGUGAGAUGUUGGGUUAAGUCCCGCAACGAGCGCAACCCCUAUCCUUGGUUGCUAGCAGGUAAUGCUGAGAACUCCAGGGAGACUGCCAGUGACAAGCUGGAGGAAGGUGGGGACGACGUCAAGUCAUCAUGGCCCUUAUGGGAUGGGCUACACACGUGCUACAAUGGUCGGUACAGAGGGUUGCGAACUCGCGAGAGAGAGCUAAUCCCACAAAGCCGAUCUUAGUCCGGAUUGGAGUCUGCAACUCGACUCCAUGAAGUUGGAAUCGCUAGUAAUCGUGGAUCAGAAUGCCACGGUGAAUACGUUCUCGGGCCU
rnacentral:rRNA from 1 species